rnacentral:rRNA from 1 species
UACGUAGGGACCAAGCGUUGUUCGGAAUUACUGGGCGUAAAGGGAGCGUAGGCGGACAGCUAAGUCAGAGGUGAAAGCCCAGGGCUCAACCCUGGAAUUGCCUUUGAUACUGGCUAUCUUGAGUAUGGGAGAGGUGUGUGGAACUCCGAGUGUAGAGGUGAAAUUCGUAGAUAUUCGGAAGAACACCAGUGGCGAAGGCGACACACUGGCCCAUUACUGACGCUGAGGCUCGAAAGCGUGGGGAGCAAACAGG